rnacentral:rRNA from 1 species
AUGAACCUUGCCGAUAAUCAUCUGUCGGAAACCAUCCCUGAAGAGCUGGGUAAGCUUCCAAACCUCCGUACACUGAAUCUUGCCGGCAACAGUCUUCAAGGUAACAUCCCCAUUUCCUUAGGCGCUACCGGUUCUCUUAGCUAUGUCAAUCUUGCAAACAACACGCUUACCGGUAGUAUCCCUCUCUCAUUGGCCGGUACCUCCACACUCAGCACACUUAUACUGUCACGUAAUAGCCUCUCUGGAGAGAUCCCUUCUACUUUGUUUGAUAACUCAUCUGAGCUUACUGUGGUUGAUCUCCAGAUGAAUUCUUUGACUGGAGCCAUCCCACCUUUCCAUGAAGCCACAACUCUCAGAUUUCUUUGCCUGACAGGAAACUUCCUCUCUGGAAGCAUACCUCCUUCAUUAGGAAAUGUUUGA